rnacentral:tRNA from 1 species
GGACCCGUAGCUCAGCUGGAUAGAGUACUUGACUACGAAUCAAGGGGCCGGGAGUUCGAAUCUCUCCGGGUCCGCCA